UACGUAGGGUGCAAGCGUUGUCCGGAAUUAUUGGGCGUAAAGAGCUCGUAGGCGGUUUGUUGCGUCGGCCGUGAAAACCUGCAGCUUAACUGUGGGCCUGCGGCCGAUACGGGCAGACUUGAGUUCGGUAGGGGAGACUGGAAUUCCUGGUGUAGCGGUGAAAUGCGCAGAUAUCAGGAGGAACACCGGUGGCGAAGGCGGCGACCUGGUCCGAUACUGACGCUGAGGCGCGAAAGCGUGGGGAGCAAACAGG
rnacentral:rRNA from 1 species